GAUGAACGCUGGCGGCGUGCCUAAUACAUGCAAGUCGAGCGAACAGACGAGGAGCUUGCUCCUCUGACGUUAGCGGCGGACGGGUGAGUAACACGUGGAUAACCUACCUAUAAGACUGGGAUAACUUCGGGAAACCGGAGCUAAUACCGGAUAAUAUAUUGAACCGCAUGGUUCAAUAGUGAAAGACGGUUUUGCUGUCACUUAUAGAUGGAUCCGCGCCGCAUUAGCUAGUUGGUAAGGUAACGGCUUACCAAGGCAACGAUGCGUAGCCGACCUGAGAGGGGGAUCGGCCACACUGGAACUGAGACACGGUCCAGACUCCUACGGGAGGCAGCAGUAGGGAAGCUUCCGCAAUGGGCGAAAGCCUGACGGAGCAACGCCGCGUGAGGGAUGAAGGUCUUCGGAUCGUAAAACUCUGUUAUUAGGGAAGAACAAAUGUGUAAGUAACUAUGCACGUCUUGACGGUACCUAAUCAGAAAGCCACGGCUAACUACGUG
rnacentral:rRNA from 1 species